rnacentral:rRNA from 1 species
GACGAACGCUGGCGGCGUGCUCACACAUGCAAGUCGAACGGAAAGGCCCUGCUUUUGUGGGGUGCUCGAGUGGCGAACGGGUGAGUAACACGUGAGUAACCUGCCCUUGACUUUGGGAUAACUUCAGGAAACUGGGGCUAAUACCGGAUAGGAGCUCCUGCUGCAUGGUGGGGGUUGGAAAGUUUCGGCGGUUGGGGAUGGACUCGCGGCUUAUCAGCUUGUUGGUGGGGUAGUGGCUUACCAAGGCUUUGACGGGUAGCCGGCCUGAGAGGGUGACCGGCCACAUUGGGACUGAGAUACGGCCCAGACUCCUACGGGAGGCAGCAGUGGGGAAUAUUGCACAAUGGGCGGAAGCCUGAUGCAGCAACGCCGCGUGCGGGAUGACGGCCUUCGGGUUGUAAACCGCUUUCGCCUGUGACGAAGCGUGAGUGACGGUAAUGGGUAAAGAAGCACCGGCUAACUACGUG